rnacentral:rRNA from 1 species
GGGUUGUGAGGUUAAGCGACUAAGCGUACACGGUGGAUGCCCUGGCAGUCAGAGGCGAUGAAGGACGUGCUAAUCUGCGAUAAGCGUCGGUAAGGUGAUAUGAACCGUUAUAACCGGCGAUUUCCGAAUGGGGAAACCCAGUGUGAUUCGUCACACUAUCAUUAACUGAAUCCAUAGGUUAAUGAGGCGAACCGGGGGAACUGAAACAUCUAAGUACCCCGAGGAAAAGAAAUCAACCGAGAUUCCCCCAGUAGCGGCGAGCGAACGGGGAGCAGCCCAGAGCCUGAAUCAGUGUGUGUGUUAGUGGAAGCGUCUGGAAAGGCGCGCGAUACAGGGUGACAGCCCCGUACACAAAAAUGCACAUGCUGUGAGCUCGAUGAGUAGGGCGGGACACGUGGUAUCCUGUCUGAAUAUGGGGGGACCAUCCUCCAAGGCUAAAUACUCCUGACUGACCGAUAGUGAACCAGUACCGUGAGGGAAAGGCGAAAAGAACCCCGGCGAGGGGAGUGAAAAAGAACCUGAAACCGUGUACGUACAAGCAGUGGGAGCACGCUUAGGCGUGUGACUGCGUACCUUUUGUAUAAUGGGUCAGCGACUUAUAUUCUGUAGCAAGGUUAACCGAAUAGGGGAGCCGAAGGGAAACCGAGUCUUAACUGGGCGUUAAGUUGCAGGGUAUAGACCCGAAACCCGGUGAUCUAGCCAUGGGCAGGUUGAAGGUUGGGUAACACUAACUGGAGGACCGAACCGACUAAUGUUGAAAAAUUAGCGGAUGACUUGUGGCUGGGGGUGAAAGGCCAAUCAAACCGGGAGAUAGCUGGUUCUCCCCGAAAGCUAUUUAGGUAGCGCCUCGUGAAUUCAUCUCCGGGGGUAGAGCACUGUUUCGGCAAGGGGGUCAUCCCGACUUACCAACCCGAUGCAAACUGCGAAUACCGGAGAAUGUUAUCACGGGAGACACACGGCGGGUGCUAACGUCCGUCGUGAAGAGGGAAACAACCCAGACCGCCAGCUAAGGUCCCAAAGUCAUGGUUAAGUGGGAAACGAUGUGGGAAGGCCCAGACAGCCAGGAUGUUGGCUUAGAAGCAGCCAUCAUUUAAAGAAAGCGUAAUAGCUCACUGGUCGAGUCGGCCUGCGCGGAAGAUGUAACGGGGCUAAACCAUGCACCGAAGCUGCGGCAGCGACGCUGAUGCGUUGUUGGGUAGGGGAGCGUUCUGUAAGCCUGCGAAGGUGUGCUGUGAGGCAUGCUGGAGGUAUCAGAAGUGCGAAUGCUGACAUAAGUAACGAUAAAGCGGGUGAAAAGCCCGCUCGCCGGAAGACCAAGGGUUCCUGUCCAACGUUAAUCGGGGCAGGGUGAGUCGACCCCUAAGGCGAGGCCGAAAGGCGUAGUCGAUGGGAAACAGGUUAAUAUUCCUGUACUUGGUGUUACUGCGAAGGGGGGACGGAGAAGGCUAUGUUGGCCGGGCGACGGUUGUCCCGGUUUAAGCGUGUAGGCUGGUUUUCCAGGCAAAUCCGGAAAAUCAAGGCUGAGGCGUGAUGACGAGGCACUACGGUGCUGAAGCAACAAAUGCCCUGCUUCCAGGAAAAGCCUCUAAGCAUCAGGUAACAUCAAAUCGUACCCCAAACCGACACAGGUGGUCAGGUAGAGAAUACCAAGGCGCUUGAGAGAACUCGGGUGAAGGAACUAGGCAAAAUGGUGCCGUAACUUCGGGAGAAGGCACGCUGAUAUGUAGGUGAAGUCCCUCGCGGAUGGAGCUGAAAUCAGUCGAAGAUACCAGCUGGCUGCAACUGUUUAUUAAAAACACAGCACUGUGCAAACACGAAAGUGGACGUAUACGGUGUGACGCCUGCCCGGUGCCGGAAGGUUAAUUGAUGGGGUCAGCGCAAGCGAAGCUCUUGAUCGAAGCCCCGGUAAACGGCGGCCGUAACUAUAACGGUCCUAAGGUAGCGAAAUUCCUUGUCGGGUAAGUUCCGACCUGCACGAAUGGCGUAAUGAUGGCCAGGCUGUCUCCACCCGAGACUCAGUGAAAUUGAACUCGCUGUGAAGAUGCAGUGUACCCGCGGCAAGACGGAAAGACCCCGUGAACCUUUACUAUAGCUUGACACUGAACAUUGAGCCUUGAUGUGUAGGAUAGGUGGGAGGCUUUGAAGUGUGGACGCCAGUCUGCAUGGAGCCGACCUUGAAAUACCACCCUUUAAUGUUUGAUGUUCUAACGUUGACCCGUGAUCCGGGUUGCGGACAGUGUCUGGUGGGUAGUUUGACUGGGGCGGUCUCCUCCUAAAGAGUAACGGAGGAGCACGAAGGUUGGCUAAUCCUGGUCGGACAUCAGGAGGUUAGUGCAAUGGCAUAAGCCAGCUUGACUGCGAGCGUGACGGCGCGAGCAGGUGCGAAAGCAGGUCAUAGUGAUCCGGUGGUUCUGAAUGGAAGGGCCAUCGCUCAACGGAUAAAAGGUACUCCGGGGAUAACAGGCUGAUACCGCCCAAGAGUUCAUAUCGACGGCGGUGUUUGGCACCUCGAUGUCGGCUCAUCACAUCCUGGGGCUGAAGUAGGUCCCAAGGGUAUGGCUGUUCGCCAUUUAAAGUGGUACGCGAGCUGGGUUUAGAACGUCGUGAGACAGUUCGGUCCCUAUCUGCCGUGGGCGCUGGAGAACUGAGGGGGGCUGCUCCUAGUACGAGAGGACCGGAGUGGACGCAUCACUGGUGUUCGGGUUGUCAUGCCAAUGGCACUGCCCGGUAGCUAAAUGCGGAAGAGAUAAGUGCUGAAAGCAUCUAAGCACGAAACUUGCCCCGAGAUGAGUUCUCCCUGACUCCUUGAGAGUCCUGAAGGAACGUUGAAGACGACGACGUUGAUAGGCCGGGUGUGUAAGCGCAGCGAUGCGUUGAGCUAACCGGUACUAAUGAACCGUGAGGCUUAACCUUACAACGCCGAAGCUGUU